CGGAGGUGAGUAAUGUCUGGGAAACUGCCCGAUGGAGGGGGAUAACUACUGGAAACGGUAGCUAAUACCGCAUAACGUCGCAAGACCAAAGAGGGGGACCUUCGGGCCUCUUGCCAUCGGAUGUGCCCAGAUGGGAUUAGCUAGUAGGUGGGGUAACGGCUCACCUAGGCGACGAUCCCUAGCUGGUCUGAGAGGAUGACCAGCCACACUGGAACUGAGACACGGCCCAG
rnacentral:rRNA from 1 species